CUCUUCUCAUUACUCAGCUCCUUCCUCCCAGUGGGAACAGCCUAUUCCAUCCAUUCAGAGCAGCAACUUGCUAAUGGGAAGAGCACAUGUCUGA